rnacentral:rRNA from 1 species
UGAACGCUGGCGGCGUGCUUAACACAUGCAAGUCGAACGAAGCACUUAUCUUUGAUUCUUCGGAUGAAGAGGUUUGUGACUGAGUGGCGGACGGGUGAGUAACGCGUGGGUAACCUGCCUCAUACAGGGGGAUAACAGUUAGAAAUGACUGCUAAUACCGCAUAAGACCACGGAGCCGCAUGGCUCCGCGGGAAAAACUCCGGUGGUAUGAGAUGGACCCGCGUCUGAUUAGGUAGUUGGUGGGGUAACGGCCUACCAAGCCGACGAUCAGUAGCCGACCUGAGAGGGUGACCGGCCACAUUGGGACUGAGACACGGCCCAAACUCCUACGGGAGGCAGCAGUGGGGAAUAUUGCACAAUGGGGGAAACCCUGAUGCAGCGACGCCGCGUGAGCGAAGAAGUAUUUCGGUAUGUAAAGCCCUAUCAGCAGGGAAGAAAAUGACGGUACCUGACUAAGAAGCACCGGCUAAAUACGUGCCAGCAGCCGCGGUAAUACGUAUGGUGCAAGCGUUAUCCGGAUUUACUGGGUGUAAAGGGAGCGUAGACGGCUGUGUAAGUCUGAAGUGAAAGCCCGGGGCUCAACCCCGGGACUGCUUUGGAAACUAUGCAGCUAGAGUGUCGGAGAGGUAAGUGGAAUUCCCAGUGUAGCGGUGAAAUGCGUAGAUAUUGGGAGGAACACCAGUGGCGAAGGCGGCUUACUGGACGAUGACUGACGUUGAGGCUCGAAAGCGUGGGGAGCAAACAGGAUUAGAUACCCUGGUAGUCCACGCCGUAAACGAUGACUACUAGGUGUCGGGGAGCAAAGCUCUUCGGUGCCGCAGCAAACGCAAUAAGUAGUCCACCUGGGGAGUACGUUCGCAAGAAUGAAACUCAAAGGAAUUGACGG